UACGUAGGGUGCGAGCGUUGUCCGGAAUUAUUGGGCGUAAAGGGCUCGUAGGCGGUUUGUCGCGUCGGGAGUGAAAACUCAGGGCUUAACCCUGAGCCUGCUUCCGAUACGGGCAGGACUAGAGGUAUGCAGGGGGAGGAACGGAAUUCCUGGUGUAGCGGUGAAAUGCGCAGAUAUCAGGAGGAACACCGGUGGCGAAGGCGGUCUCUGGGCAUUACCUGACGCUGAGGAGCGAAAGUGUGGGGAGGCGAACAGG
rnacentral:rRNA from 1 species